rnacentral:lncRNA from 1 species
UAUCAUCAAGAAUACCAAUUGGUAUUUUCACAGUGCGAUCAGCCAAGUGUAGCAGCAUAGAAUUCGGUCUAGAUCGGCCGAUGCCCAAUUUAGUGUACACUGCCAGCGGCAUUAGAUUUAUGCUAGCUCCCAAGUCACAUAGCGCCUUUGCAAAGGCAUAGCUUCCAAUUGUGCUGGAAUAGUGAAGCUACCUAGAUUAGACAUUUUUUGUGCCAUCGAUUUUUCCACCACUGCACUACAGGUUUUUGUCAUAGUUACGGUGGAUAGAUCCUGAAAAUCAACUUCCUUGACAUUAGAUCUUUCAUCAUCUUGGCAUAACCGGGCAUCUCCCUCAAGGCAUCCAUCAGAGGAAUAUUCAACUGAAUUUGACGCAGCAUUUCCAUGAACUUUUUGUGUUGGUCUGCCUUCUUUUGUUUGACCAGUCUCUGAGGGAAGGAUGCAGGUAUCACCCUUUGUGCAUUGCUUACUGGGU